AUACCAUGAUGUAGACACAUAACCUGACCCUUGAAUCUCUCCCAUGUUUCUUGUAACGUCUCUGUUGGUUUCUGUCUGAAGCUCAAUAUCUCAUCAAUUUAU
rfam:Nicotiana attenuata strain TT chromosome 10, whole genome shotgun sequence.